rnacentral:rRNA from 1 species
AACGAACGCUGGCGGCGUGCUUAACACAUGCAAGUCGAACGCGAAAGGGACUUCGGUCCCGAGUAGAGUGGCGCACGGGUGAGUAACGCGUAAGUGAUCUACCCCUGUAUCUGGGAUAACAACUCGAAAGGGUUGCUAAUACGGGAUACACUUUUCCGGACGCGAGUCUGGGAGAGGAAAGGUGACCUCUUCUUGAAAGUUACUGUAUAGGGAUGAGUCUGCGUACCAUUAGCUAGUAGGUAGGGUAAUGGCCUACCUAGGCUACGAUGGUUAGCGGGUCUGAGAGGAUGAUCCGCCACACUGGAACUGGAACACGGACCAGACUCCUACGGGUGGCUG